rnacentral:rRNA from 1 species
GAGCGGGCGUAGCAAUACGUCAGCGGCAGACGGGUGAGUAACGCGUGGGAACGUACCUUUUGGUUCGGAACAACCCAGGGAAACUUGGACUAAUACCGGAUAAGCCCUUACGGGGAAAGAUUUAUCGCCGAAAGAUCGGCCCGCGUCUGAUUAGCUAGUUGGUGAGGUAAUGGCUCACCAAGGCGACGAUCAGUAGCUGGUCUGAGAGGAUGAUCAGCCACAUUGGGACUGAGACACGGCCCAAACUCCUACGGGAGGCAGCAGUGGGGAAUAUUGGACAAUGGGCGCAAGCCUGAUCCAGCCAUGCCGCGUGAGUGAUGAAGGCCCUAGGGUUGUAAAGUGUUUGUGCGGAAGAUAAUGACGUUUAGCAAGAAUAAGCCCCGGCUAACUUAGUGCCACCAGACGCGUAAU